rnacentral:rRNA from 1 species
UACGUAGGGUGCAAGCGUUACUCGGAAUUACUGGGCGUAAAGCGUGCGCAGGCGGUUGUGCAAGGCAGGUGUGAAAUCCCCGGGCUCAACCUGGGAAUUGCAUUUGUGACUGCACGGCUAGAGUGUGUCAGAGGGGGGUAGAAUUCCACGUGUAGCAGUGAAAUGCGUAGAGAUGUGGAGGAAUACCGAUGGCGAAGGCAGCCCCCUGGGAUAACACUGACGCUCAUGCACGAAAGCGUGGGGAGCAAACAGG